rnacentral:rRNA from 1 species
CGGGUGAGUAACACGCGAGUGACCUGCCUUUUAGACUGGAACAACUUACCGAAAGGUGAGGCUAAUGCCGGAUGAGUUAUAUAAGUGCAUGUUUAUAUAGGAAAAGUUGGGAGACCUGACGCUGAAAGAUGGACUCGCGUCCCAUUAGCUAGUUGGUAGGGUAAUGGCCUACCAAGGCGACGAUGGGUAGCCGGCCUGAGAGGGUGGCCGGCCACACUCGGGACUGAGACACGGCCCAGACUCCUACGGGAGGCAGCAG